GCUCAUCUUCAGAGGUAGCUCAGUUGAUAAAGCAUAAGACUCUUAAUCUCGGGGUCAUGGGUUUGAGACCCAAGUUGGGUG